UUAUCACUAUAAGCAGGAGCACUAAUCAUCUUGUACACAUCACCACUGUUGGAUAUAGAUGUAUAUGAAGCCUCUUGCCAUAUAUAGAUAGAUAUGUAUGAAGCCUUUUGCCUGGCAAUUUCUUACGACUCCAGAGAGAGUGAAAGAGGAGUGAGAUCCCAGAGGAAGCUAAAAUCCUUUAAUUGAAAAAUACAUUUCUUACUCAGUCCUUCAACUUUUUUAUUCCUGCUCAGUUGUCAGAUAAUCUGGUGCUGUGGAGAUGUCUGCUCUCGUUAAGGAUCUUGUAUUCUUAAUUUUACAGUUCUUCGAUGAGGAAGGUUUCAAAGAAACUGCUCACAAGCUUGAACAAGAAAGUGGAAUUUCACUUUGACAUGAAAGUAUUUUGGAAGGAUAUGAUACUUAG